CUCCAGAGGGAAGUACUUUCUGUUGUCUGAGAGAAAAGAAAGUGCUUCCCUUUGGACUG
rnacentral:pre_miRNA from 1 species